rnacentral:lncRNA from 1 species
AGACUAAUCACCCAACUCCCUUAUUCCCAGGCCCCUGCCAGAGGUGAUUUUAAACUGACAUCUCAGUCACUCCCCAGCUUAGAACACCAUGGCUUCCCCACCACUCACAGUCAAAUCCCAAGUUCCAGCCCCUGCAGAAACCCCCUCACUAUCACUGUGGCCUUCCAGCCAAAUUUUUGCUUUUCCUGACAAUGCUCAGCAGGCUUCUGCUUUCCAUUCCUUUGUCCUCCAUCUCAGAGCCCCCAGGGAGCAUCCUCACCACAUUCCCCAGUACCAUCCUCCCACUCUUUACCUCUCCUGCAGCACUGCAGAGCCGCCUCCCUGACACGGCCAAGGUCCAAGGGAACCUCCCCACAGCUUUUCGGGGUCCUCUGCAGCUGUGGAGUCCCCACACUACCUAUGUUUUCCUACUCAUGCCCCAGUCUCAGGAGUUCCUGGGGCCUUCAUCCCACCACCUCUGAGGGCUUUCUACCCCUGGGCCUGUAAACCCAUCCUCCCUUGCUGCCAGCCUAUAACGGGACAGCUGGAAACCAGAGAGACACAGGAGGGUCCCUGGAGCAUAGUUUCCCAACCUGCCAGGACCCCCUGCCAAGGCUCCAUCCCCAUCAUGUGCAUCCCAGGCUGCUCAAGUUUCCACCACCACCCUUCCAAAGGCCAGGACAGGCUUCUGCUUCCCUACCCAGCCUCAGGAUCCCCCUCCACAGAAGCCAGUGCCUGCUGCUCCACAGAGUGGGGCUUUCCCCUCCCCCACAUACCUUGCACUUGGGGGAAGGCUCAAUUUCCAGGCCCCCUGCUACCCAAAAGUAACAGAACAGUGCCAGUGCCCUGUAACUAGUGCUCAAUUCCCCCUCAGGUUUAACUCUCCGAUGAGAGAUUGCUCCCUCUCCUCCCCUGCCCUGGCUCACCCGAGUGGAUGAACAUGUGCUUGGUGUAGUUUUUCCGGGAGCUGAACGUCUUGCGACAGUGGCUGCACUCAUAGCUUUUACCAGGCCCCUUCGUGAUCUCAUUCCUCAGGGAGCAGUUCUCACUUCC